rnacentral:misc_RNA from 1 species
CAACCCUCAAGCCCCCAGGGCUUGGUGUUGGGGACCGGCCGCCCGCCGCGGCGGCCGCCCCCGAAAUGCAGUGGCGGCCUCGCCGCAGCCUCCCCUGCGUAGUAGCACAACCUCGCACCGGAGCGCGGAGACGGUCACGCCGUGAAACGCCCAACUCUCAAGAG